AUGCCAACAAACUCUAGCCUUUGUCUCACUCCUAUUUGUGGAGAGGUUAUGAAAGACCUGAUGUUCCAAUCUCCCCAUUUGAUGAAAACAACUCCAGUUGCCAGGUCGCAUGACCACAUCUGGAUCCCAUCCAUCUGUUGUUUUCCAUUUCCAAUCAGAACAGGGCUGGUGUCGUGCAAAGAUACCAAAAGCUGCAGCAACAAAUCAACCCAAGGAAGACCGGAGUAUCUCCCCGAGCGAGCUGAGCGCUGGUUCCUCCCCCAAAGUCGGGACUUUCCUGAUGGAACCAGAGGGCUUUCCAGGUUCUGGUCCCUUGGCUGGCCUCAUCGCCAGCUUUCUGUAAUUGUAGACAGCAUUCAGGCAUGUGCAAAGAACCCCAUUCACCCCAUUGGGCCAUCUGAGCCUCAGGCUAACCUUCCACAUGACCUAGCAUCAUGCAAGAGGACCUGGAGACCCUGCUGGCCUUGGAAAGGGCUGAUAUCAUAGCUCAAUACCAUCAGGGAGAAGGAGCUGCCUGGCCCCAGCCCCCAUGAGGCCAAG
rnacentral:lncRNA from 12 species